rnacentral:lncRNA from 1 species
UUCUCUUUACAAAUAUUCUUCUGAUGUGAUUAUAUCGAUGUGUCCUUUCCAUCUUGAGUUAUUAAAAAAAGAUCUUAAAUGAUCCCAGAGAGUACAUUCUACUUAGUUAGCUGACACAUAGCAAAAUCAUUUUAUCAUUGAAGGAAAAUGAGUGAAUUUUUCUAGAGUACUAAACACAAUGUUAUUUUUGAAGUAUACCAUCCACAAAGCUAGCAUGCAUGACACAUGCAAAAGACACCCUCCCUCUGCAAUGGCCCUUUCCAGUGCCCAGUGUCACACAUAGCACAGCAUAUUAUCUGUGAGAUGACACCCUACCUCCUUCUUCCUCUUCAGAGCAUCCUCAAACCAUCACAACAUCACUCUCAGCACUUUCAAUGCUGUUGUAGUGAGCUAAUGGGUUUUCUCUUCCAAUGCAAAAAUUUGACACAGUUACUUAAUGGAUUAUGCUGUGGCUUUCAGGCAUGUAAAGCUGACAGCUUCUCUAAUUAGGAUACAAUCUUGGAUUCAAGGAAACUCAUACAUUUAAAAUACAGUGUGAUCUUUUGGUGGACACAUCUAACUUAAAAGUUGAUCUUCUCGUGAAACAAUUUAAUCACCUCUUUUCACCUUUUUAAAUAUGUCCUUGUUGGGAGUUUUGACAACAUUCCCAUUGGUCCAGGGGAUAAUCACUUUUUGAGAUGGCUUGACAAUCGGUUCUACCAUGAACAACAUUAAAAUUAAAAUAAUUGAAAUUCAGCUUCACAUCUACCUUACACAUUAGAACUUUUCCCAUGCUAUUUAAUAUUGUGAUUUUCCAUUUUCAUUUCUUCACUAAAAGAGAAUGAGCUGAUGUAAUAUGUAACAAUUAGGGUAUUUUCAUACAUAAGGGCUAAGUAUCUCAUAACUUUCUAGUACCUGUGACUUCCUCUGUUUGAGUAAACUAUGGAAAACCCUCUCACUCUACUUGCUUGACUUUGCCUCUAUCCAAAAUAUAUAGGAGGCGAAAUCAACGUUCCAAAUCUGGUCAGAUCUCACAAUCAAACUCUUCCUUCCAGAACCCCAUGGCAAGCAGCUGAUUUAUUCAUGUUACUUCCCCAUUACUGAGGGAUGCCAACAUCAAGGGAAGCAAAACUUAAAAAUUUCAAUUUUCUCCAUCUCCCUCCCAUUUUCUCUGGAUCUUUCUUUCUCUUAAGAAUUUGAGAAAUUUGUUGUUCCAAGGUAACAAAAAUGAACAAUAACCCACCCAAGAAUCACAUAUUAGUAGAUGCUUUUAAUUUGACAGAUAAAAGGGAAGUUCAAAGGUAGAACUUUAAGGAGUUCCGUUGUGGCUCAGCAGGUUCUGGAUCUAGUAUUGCCACUGUAGCGGCUCGGAUCACUGCUGUAGUCCGGGUUUGAUCCCUGGCCCAGGAACUUAUACAUGCCACAGGUGCAGCCAAAAAAAAUAGAAUCUCAAGAGUUGAAGAAAUUUGGGAAGGGAAUUGGGGAGGGGAGAGCUUCCUCAGUGGUCUUAAGACACACUGUGUUGGGCUGACUCACCUGCUGGGACAUAAACUGGCCUGAUUUAUGAGCUUGAACUUAGAAGAAGAUACUUGACUAGGAGCUAGGAAGCAGUAAGAUCUCUUAUGAUUACCACGUGGCACACAUUUUCUGAUGCCCCUUUUUGAUUUUGAAAAAUCUCCUCUAUGAACCCAAUGAACUUAACUCUUAUAUUCUUGUGUUCCCAUUUUUUUAUUUGGAACAGAUAUUAUGGAUAACAUUACUGAACUAAUGAAUCACUACUAACCCAGAUUUUUGCACCAUAUCACUGCUGGACAAUGCCAAUGGCUGUCUUUCGGAUACUGCCUUUUUCUCACAUUGAAAAACAGGAGGGUUGGACCAGAAGUUACCUCAGGCCACUUAUAUCUUAGAUUCCUUGAUUCCAGUAGGAAAACCUCUGCUUGAUUUACUUUUCCUUGAAAGAGUCCUGGUUAAUCAUAUGCUCUUAAAAUUUAGAUCAUCUUUCCAUUCAUUUAGUAAUGUGCUUAUAAAUUAAGCUGACUCAGCAUUUUAUUUGAGAUGAGUUACUUGCCCUUUUAAAAACAUUUAUCACUGAUAAACUGAAAGGAGGGAGAAAAUAUUAAAAACUAAAUAUGCAGAUAAAAUAAAAAAGAAAUGUCUUGAAAUCCAUUUAAAAUAGUCAAAUUAAUAAUCUAGUGGUUAAUAUGAUCAUUUUCAGUAUUGACCAUCUUACAAAAACCAAUAAUACAUUAAGUGAAAUUAAAGCAUACACACUUUUGUUGUUGAAUCAGACAAUAAAUAUUUAGUGAACUUGAUAUUGUUUUAGGUUGAGGGAUACGACAUUUCAAAAAAACAAUGCUACCCUUGAAAGUUACAUUCUUUAAGGGGAAUAUUCUGAAACUGAACUAGCCAACUAAUAAAUAAAAUUAAUAGAAUGUUAAAUGAUCAAGCCAUGGACAAAAGUCAGACAAAGAAGGUGGCUAGGAUGUGACAGGGAAUGAGGAUCUAGCUGCAAUUUUAUUUUAUUUUAUUUUUAUUAUUGGCUGUGUCCAGGGCUUGUAUGUGGACUUCUAGAGCCAGGGGUCACAGCAGCAAGUCAAGUCACUGCAGUGACAACACUAGACCCUUAACCUGGGAACUCCUAUUUCAACUUUAAAUAGAAUGGUGUGGGUAGUUCUCAAUAAAGAAAAUAAAGCCUGAGAAUAGUCUGAAGGAAUGGGGGGAAAUGAUAUAGAUGUGUUGGCAAAAAGCAUUUCCUUGCACAAGUGGCUAAAACAGCAAAUGAGGGUAAAGGUUAGGAUAUGAAGUCAGAAAAACAGCUAAGAACUGGGUGUUGUAGGGUUUUGGAUGGUGUAAGGGCUUUGCUUUUACUCAUUAAUAUGGGAAAACAAUUUUGAGCAAAGGAGUAAUACAGUCUGACUCAUGUGUAAUAGGAUAACUCUGUCUGCUGUACAUGCAGCAAAGGGAGAAGUGAGACAAUCUGGUAGGAAACCAGGGCAGUAAUCUAGGAGAGAGACGGUGAUGGUUUGUGCAAGGCUAUGCAGGGGAGAGUCAGUGACAUCACCAACACCUCUGACUGAACAACUGAAGGAAGAUUUUUGUUAUUUAAGAAAUUAGAAGAAAGGAGUGGGAGUGACAAGUCUGAGGCUGGAGGAUUGGGAUUUCAAUUUGAGUUGUGUUAAUCUUAGAAAUCUAAGCAGAGGUGUAGACUAUCCAAUAUCCAAGUGGAGGCAGAUGGAUACAGGGGCUGGAAAGUGGGAGAGGCACCUAAGCAGAAGAAUCUUCAGCAAAUAGAUGCUGGAGUUCCCACUGUGGCUCAGCAGUAAGGGACCCGACUAGUAACCAUGAGGAUGUGAGUUUGAUCCCUGGCCUGCUUGGUGUGUUAAGAAUCUGCCAUUGCAGAGAGCUGUGGUGUAAGUCACAGAAGUGUCUUGGAUCCCACAUUGCUGUGGCUCUGGCAUGGGCCAACAGCUGCAGCUCCAAAUCAACCCCUAGCCUG